CCUACGGGAGGCAGCAGUGGGGAAUAUUGCACAAUGGGCGCAAGCCUGAUGCAGCCAUGCCGCGUGUGUGAAGAAGGCCUUCGGGUUGUAAAGCACUUUCAGCGGGGAGGAGGGCGGUGAGGUUAAUAACCUCAUCGAUUGACGUUACCCGCAGAAGAAGCACCGGCUAACUCCGUGCCAGCAGCCGCGGUAAUACGGAGGGUGCAAGCGUUAAUCGGAAUUACUGGGCGUAAAGCGCACGCAGGCGGUCUGUCAAGUCGGAUGUGAAAUCCCCGGGCUCAACCUGGGAACUGCAUUCGAAACUGGCAGGCUAGAGUCUUGUAGAGGGGGGUAGAAUUCCAGGUGUAGCGGUGAAAUGCGUAGAGAUCUGGAGGAAUACCGGUGGCGAAGGCGGCCCCCUGGACAAAGACUGACGCUCAGGUGCGAAAGCGUGGGGAGCAAACAGGAUUAGAUACCCGAGUAGUC
rnacentral:rRNA from 1 species